rnacentral:lncRNA from 1 species
AUAAAACACACUAUCUGUAAUGCUAAGGUCUGGUGACAAAGACUUUUCCACAUGCUCCUGCAUAUGUCACUACAUAUUACCAAAAGACACCAGCAAAGGUAACCACUUACACUUUGAGAAUUGUUUAGCACAGGAAAGAUAAACCAUUCACCAUGUUAAAAAAAGUUUUAGAUUUUUACCUAAAAGGGAAGUGUUCUUUUCUCUUUUUACAACUCUGGGUAUCUGGCCCAGUCCCACAAAGACUCACAAAAUACAUCCUCAUAUUAACCUUACCAUUAAAGGGGAAUGAGCAGUUCUGAUAAUUGAUCAUAGAGUCAUCAGGGUCUUGUGUUUGUUGAAUUAAUUUCCCCUACUCAUGUUCUAGAUUUCAUUAUUGUAGCAAAGGAACAUAGGUCAUCAAAAUUUUUUAUCAAAAAUAAAAGAAAAUACUUCCUGCUCUGUGAUUUUGUGUGUGUACUGUGUACUUCUCCUCCAGGUCUCAGAAGACAAACAUUGACUGGAGCCACGGAUAUAUAGCAGAAGAUACUGUUCCUGGGAUGGGGAUUCCUCUGCACCAGUUACUUUAAUCAGCCAGUUUGAGAUAGAGAUAUGCAUCUAUAUAUGUAUAGGCUAGCUGAUAAUUUCUAUUUGUGUGGAGGAUGCACUGUACCCUGCCGGCUACUAUAUGAGCUGUAUAUUGAAACCUGCAAUGCCAGUUUCAAGAUUCAAGUACAUCCAUCCACCUUUGGAAAGCUUAUUCAGUUAGUUUUCCCAGGCUUGGUGACAAGAAGGCGGACCAC